rnacentral:lncRNA from 1 species
CAGAGAGAUCCCUCUCUCCCCUCCAUUUUGCAGGCUCAUUCCUAAUCUCUGAUCUCUAAUCUCUCUAUGUCUACUGAGUCCAGCCUUGAUCCAUCCCUCAAAAGGGCUCCUUUUGGAAGAGAAAUGGAGGAUUGCCCUGUCGCAGAAAUAUAAGGACUGAGAUGUACAGAGUGAACAACCUACAAGACUAAUCUGAUUGGGAAACAACUAAGAACCUUCUGGUAUUGCCUGGUUGUUCCAGGCUUCUCAACCUCCGAAGAGAUCCAGCCAGCACCCAUGAGACCCCAGCCUUGGGGCCUCAGAGGAGGCUCUGGAAUGAUACUCAGAACUGCUCAUCUGACCUGGAAAAAAGGCAGGAGGGUGGGAGGUGAGAGGUGAUCGUUAGCUCACCAUCCACAGACAUAAGCUAGCAUCAUAGGCCAUAACAUAGUGU